CGCGGCUGAUUAGCUAGUUGGUGAGGUAACGGCCCACCAAGGCUAAGACGGGUAGCUGGUCUGAGAGGACGACCAGCCACACUGGAACUGAGACACGGUCCAGACACCUACGGGUGGCAGCAGUCGAGAAUUUUUCACAAUGGGCGCAAGCCUGAUGGAGCGACGCCGCGUGGGGGAUGAAUGGCUUCGGCCCGUAAACCCCUGUCAUUCGCGAUCAAACCUCGCUAUUUAAAGGAUGACGAGCUGAUAGUAGCGGAAGAGGAAGGGACGGCUAACUCUGUGCCAGCAGCCGCGGUAAUACAGAGGUCCCAAGCGUUGUUCGGAUUCACUGGGCGUAAAGGGUGCGUAGGUGGUGAGGUAAGUCGGAUGUGAAAGCUCGGAGCUCAACUCCGAAAUGGCAUUGGAAACUACCUUGCUCGAGGGUUGGAGGGGGGACUGGAAUUCUCGGUGUAGCAGUGAAAUGCGUAGAUAUCGAGAGGAACACCAGUGGCGAAGGCGAGUCCCUGGACAACUCCUGACACUGAGGCACGAAAGCUAGGGGAGCAAACAGGAUUAGAUACCCUGGUAGUCCUAGCCGUAAACGGUGCACGUUUGCUGUAAAAGGAAUCGACCCCUUUUGUGGCGUACCCAACGCGUUAAACGUGCCGCCUGGGAAGUACGGUCGCAAGAUUAAAACUCGAAGAAUUGACCGGGGGCCUGCACAAGCGGUG
rnacentral:rRNA from 1 species